AGAGUUUGAUCAUGGCUCAGAUUGAACGCUGGCGGCAGGCCUAACACAUGCAAGUCGAACGGUAACAGGAAGCAGCUUGCUGCUUCGCUGACGAGUGGCGGACGGGUGAGUAAUGUCUGGGAAACUGCCUGAUGGAGGGGGAUAACUACUGGAAACGGUAGCUAAUACCGCAUAAUGUCGCAAGACCAAAGAGGGGGACCUUCGGGCCUCUUGCCAUCGGAUGUGCCCAGAUGGGAUUAGCUUGUUGGUGGGGUAACGGCUCACCAAGGCGACGAUCCCUAGCUGGUCUGAGAGGAUGACCAGCCACACUGGAACUGAGACACGGUCCAGACUCCUACGGGAGGCAGCAGUGGGGAAUAUUGCACAAUGGGCGCAAGCCUGAUGCAGCCAUGCCGCGUGUAUGAAGAAGGCCUUCGGGUUGUAAAGUACUUUCAGCGGGGAGGAAGGGAGUAAAGUUAAUACCUUUGCUCAUUGACGUUACCCGCAGAAGAAGCACCGGCUAACUCCGUGCCAGCAGCCGCGGUAAUACGGAGGGUGCAAGCGUUAAUCGGAAUUACUGGGCGUAAAGCGCACGCAGGCGGUUUGUUAAGUCAGAUGUGAAAUCCCCGGGCUCAACCUGGGAACUGCAUCUGAUACUGGCAAGCUUGAGUCUCGUAGAGGGGGGGUAGAAUUCCAGGUGUAGCGGUGAAAUGCGUAGAGAUCUGGAGGAAUACCGGUGGCGAAGGCGGCCCCCCUGGACGAAGACUGACGCUCAGGUGCGAAAGCGUGGGGAGCAAACAGGAUUAGAUACCCUGGUAGUCCACGCCGUAAACGAUGUCGACUUGGAGGUUGUGCCCUUGAGGCGUGGCUUCCGGAGCUAACGCGUUAAGUCGACCGCCUGGGGAGUACGGCCGCAAGGUUAAAACUCAAAUGAAUUGACGGGGGCCCGCACAAGCGGUGGAGCAUGUGGUUUAAUUCGAUGCAACGCGAAGAACCUUACCUGGUCUUGACAUCCACGGAAGUUUUCAGAGAUGAGAAUGUGCCUUCGGGAACCGUGAGACAGGUGCUGCAUGGCUGUCGUCAGCUCGUGUUGUGAAAUGUUGGGUUAAGUCCCGCAACGAGCGCAACCCUUAUCCUUUGUUGCCAGCGGUCCGGCCGGGAACUCAAAGGAGACUGCCAGUGAUAAACUGGAGGAAGGUGGGGAUGACGUCAAGUCAUCAUGGCCCUUACGACCAGGGCUACACACGUGCUACAAUGGCGCAUACAAAGAGAAGCGACCUCGCGAGAGCAAGCGGACCUCAUAAAGUGCGUCGUAGUCCGGAUUGGAGUCUGCAACUCGACUCCAUGAAGUCGGAAUCGCUAGUAAUCGUGGAUCAGAAUGCCACGGUGAAUACGUUCCCGGGCCUUGUACACACCGCCCGUCACACCAUGGGAGUGGGUUGCAAAAGAAGUAGGUAGCUUAACCUUCGGGAGGGCGCUUACCACUUUGUGAUUCAUGACUGGGGUGAAGUCGUAACAAGGUAACCGUAGGGGAACCUGCGGUUGGAUCACCU
rnacentral:rRNA from 1 species